rnacentral:miRNA from 15 species
UGAUAGUGAAAUAUUUGCUUCC